rnacentral:rRNA from 1 species
GUGUCAGCCGCCGCGGUAAUACGGAGGGUGCAAGCGUUAAUCGGAAUUACUGGGCGUAAAGCGCGCGUAGGUGGCUUGAUAAGCCGGUUGUGAAAGCCCCGGGCUCAACCUGGGAACGGCAUCCGGAACUGUCAGGCUAGAGUGCAGGAGAGGAAGGUAGAAUUCCCGGUGUAGCGGUGAAAUGCGUAGAGAUCGGGAGGAAUACCAGUGGCGAAGGCGGCCUUCUGGACUGACACUGACACUGAGGUGCGAAAGCGUGGGUAGCAAACAGGAUUAGAUACCCUGGUAGUCCACGCCGUAAACGAUGUCGACCAGCCGUUGGGUGCCUAGAGCACUUUGUGGCGAAGUUGACGCGAUAAGUCGACCGCCUGGGGAGUACGGCCGCAAGGUUAAAACUCAAAUGAAUUGACGGGGGCCCGCACAAGCGGUGGAGCAUGUGGUUUAAUUCGAUGCAACGCGAAGAACCUUACCUACCCUUGACAUCUACAGAAGCCGGAAGAGAUUCUGGUGUGCCUUCGGGAACUGUAAGACAGGUGCUGCAUGGCUGUCGUCAGCUCGUGUUGUGAAAUGUUGGGUUAAGUCCCGUAACGAGCGCAACCCUUGUCCUUAUUUGCCAGCGAGUAAUGUCGGGAACUCUAAGGAGACUGCCGGUGACAAACCGGAGGAAGGUGGGGACGACGUCAAGUCAUCAUGCCCUUACGGGUAGGGCUACACACGUGCUACAAUGGCCGGUACAAAGGGCUGCGAGCUCGCGAGAGUCAGCGAAUCCCUUAAAGCCGGUCUCAGUCCGGAUCGGAGUCUGCAACUCGACUCCGUGAAGUCGGAAUCGCUAGUAAUCGUGAAUCAGAAUGUCACGGUGAAUACGUUCCCGGGCCUUGCACACACCGCCCGUC